UGCAGGUUACAGAGAGGGAUUAAAAACAACUAUUAAAGGAAAAAUGCGGGGAUGUUUAUGCUUUGCUUUUCUAUCUACUGGCGGUUGGAAGUGGCAUUUUGAUUGGUGGAUUAGAGGCUUGAGAAGAGGAAGAUAUAUGCAUGUUUGGAGAGCGUCCUUGAUCAGGAAGUGUUUGAACAAUUGAAGCGUACAACAGAGGGUUUAAAAUUUGAGGAG